rnacentral:rRNA from 1 species
GGUAAUAGUCCUGUAUGUUAAACGAGAAGACUUUAGAUAUGAUCCAGAGUACCACGGGACACGUGAAACCCUGUGGGAAGCAGGAGGGACCACCCUCCAAGGCUAAAUACUACCUAGUGACCGAUAGCGUAUAGUACCGUGAGGGAAAGGUGAAAAGAACCCCGGGAGGGGAGUGAAAUAGAACCUGAAACCCUGCACUUACAAGCUGUGGAAGCACAUUUCUUGUGUGACCGCGUACUUUUUGUAGAACGGGCCAACGAGUUACGUUAAGUAGCAAGGUUAAGCACUUAAGGUGCGGAGCCGUAGCGAAAGCGAGUUUUAACUGAGCGUUCAGUUACUUGACGUAGACCCGAAACCGGGCGACCUACCCAUGAGCAGGAUGAAGCGAAAGUAAAAUUUCGUGGAGGUCCGAACCCACGAGCGUUGAAAAGCUCGGGGAUGACUUGUGGGUAGCGGUGAAAUUCCAAUCGAGCCCGGAGAUAGCUGGUUCUCCCCGAAAUAGCUUUAGGGCUAGCCUCAAGGUGAGAGAUACGGAGGUAGAGCACUGAAUGUCCUAGGGGGUAUUGCACCUACCGAAGACUAUCAAACUCCGAAUGCCGUCAUCUUAUACUUGGGAGUCAGACUGUGGGUGAUAAGAUUCAUAGUCGAAAGGGCAACAGCCCAGAUCGUCAGCUAAGGUCCCUAAAUGUAAGUUAAGUGGUAAAGGAUGUGGGAUUGCACAGACAACCAGGAUGUUGGCUUAGAAGCAGCCACUCAUUCAAAGAGUGCGUAAUAGCUCACUGGUCGAGUGAUCCUGCGCCGAAGAUUUCCGGGGCUAAAACUUACUACCGAAGCUACGGCAUCAGUAAUGAUGGGUAGGGGAGCUUCCCAUACGGGUUGAAGCAUGACCGUAAGGACAUGUGGACAGUAUGGGAGUGAGAAUGUUGGCAUGAGUAGCGAGAUGUGGGUGAGAAUCCCACAGGCCGUAAACCCAAGGUUUCCAGGGGAAGGUUCGUCCGCCCUGGGUUAGUCGGGACCUAAGCUGAGGCCGAAAGGCGUAGGUGAUGGACAACAGGUUGAUAUUCCUGUACUACCGAUAACCGUUUGAGAGAAGGGAUGACACAGUAGGAUAAGCUAAGCACACUGUUGGUUAUGUGUGCCCAAGCAUUGAGGCAGUCAAAGUAGGCAAAUCCGCUUUGAUAAUGCUGGGAUGUGAUGGGGAGCGAAAUUUAGUAGCGAAGUAGCUGAUUUCACACUGUCAAGAAAAGUCUCUAUCGAGGUUAAAGGUACCCGUACCGCAAACCGACACAGGUGGGUGAGGAGAGUAUCCUAAGGCCAGCGAGAGAACUGUUGUUAAGGAACUCGGCAAAAUGACCCCGUAACUUAGGGAUAAGGGGUGCCACCAUUAGGUGGCCGCAGAGAAUAGGCCCAAGCGACUGUUUACCAAAAACAUAGGUUUCUGCUAAGUCGCAAGACGAUGUAUAGGAGCUGACGCCUGCCCGGUGCUGGAAGGUUAAGGGGAUCUGUUAGAG